rnacentral:lncRNA from 1 species
GGCACGAAGUUCAGAGGCCAUAGCUUCAUGCCAAUGAGAGUGGCGAUUUGCUUCUGAGUAACAAGUCGGUUCAACAGAAGCAGUAAGAGCAGUUAAGAAUGAAUAAUGAGCAUGAGAAAAACGAGAGUAUGACAGAUAAGUGCAUAAGGGGUGGGAAGUACCUGAGGACUGUGCAGCGGUUGAGGAGGCAAUGAACUCCACAGGGAUAGUAGGACAGACAUAAUCAAGGAGAUAUGCUGGACGAGUAGUGUGGCGACGAGGUCGGGAAGGAAUAGUGGCGGUGGGUGGGGGUUCUUGGGGUAUGGUCGAGGAAGGGAAAGGAGAUAUGGGUUCGGUGAUAG